UACUCUGCCUUUUCUAGGGGGCUCAAGUUUUCCCCAAGGCUGACCUGCUCCAUGCUACCUGAAGAUGGGGCGAGCAGGUCAGCCUAGGGGAAAACUUGAGCCCCCUAGAAAAGGCAGAGGCCAU